rnacentral:rRNA from 1 species
GAUGAACGCUGGCGGCGUGCUUAACACAUGCAAGUCGAACGGAAAGGCUCCUGCUUGCUGGGGUACUCGAGUGGCGAACGGGUGAGUAACACGUGGGUGAUCUGCCCUGCACUUCGGGAUAAGCCUGGGAAACUGGGUCUAAUACCGGAUAGGACGUUGGUUUGGAUGCCAUUGUGGAAAGUUUUUCGGUGUGGGAUGAGCUCGCGGCCUAUCAGCUUGUUGGUGGGGUAGUGGCCUACCAAGGCGUCGACGGGUAGCCGGCCUGAGAGGGUGUACGGCCACAUUGGGACUGAGAUACGGCCCAGACUCCUACGGGAGGCAGCAGUGGGGAAUAUUGCACAAUGGGCGGAAGCCUGAUGCAGCGACGCCGCGUGGGGGAUGACGGCCUUCGGGUUGUAAACCGCUUUCGCUAGGGACGAAGCGUGAGUGACGGUAACUGGUGAAGAAGCACCGGCUAACUACGUG